AAGGUCCUAGCUUAAUCAAAGUAUCUGAGUUGCAUUCAGGGGAUGCAGGGUAGCGUCCUGCGGACUUUA
rnacentral:tRNA from 1 species